rnacentral:rRNA from 1 species
UACGUAGGGGGGCAAGCGUUGUCCGGAUUUAUUGGGCGUAAAGAGCGUGUAGGCGGUUGGGUAGGUCCGUUGUGAAAACUCGAGCUCAACCUCGAGACGCCGAUGGAAACCCCCCAGCUAGAGUCCGGAAGAGGAGAGUGGAAUUCCUGGUGUAGCGGUGAAAUGCGCAGAUAUCAGGAAGAACACCCGUGGCUAAGGCGGCUCUCUGGAACGCAACUGACGCUGAGACGCGAAAGCGUGGGGAGCAAACAGG